CAGUAGAACACACCACUUGGGUCUUCCACCAAAUCAUAGCCAAUGAUGUUCCACCUCUCUGAAAAGUCGUCACUGAAGCAAUGAGGCAGGCCGUAAUUAAUCUUUUAGGAUGACACAACAGCUGAAAGAACAUAAGGAGAAACAUACCUGGUUUGAUCUGGAUCAUAUGCAUAUGACAUGCAUGAACAUGACAGCAAAAAGUAUCCAAAUGAAACCCGUUUUGUUCUAAGCAGCUGAAAUUUACCUGCUUUCAUUUAAACUAGCAGCCAGAAGGAAGCAGAAGCACAAGAUAUCUGAGAUCCUGCAAUCUGUAUUCAUACUACACCAGUUAGAACCUACAGAGACAGCAAGACUGAAUCAAAAAAGAGAUGAUCAC
rnacentral:lncRNA from 1 species